rnacentral:lncRNA from 1 species
CUCUGUACUACGUCCGGGUCAGCAUCAGUAUCCUGCUGGGUAAAGUUAUAAACCCUGCCUUGAAUAGGAGGUCUUCCUUGAUUCUGGUUUCUUGGGCACUCUCUUGCAUAGUGUUGGGCACUACCACAUAUGCGACAAGUGUUGUUGAGGUGCUAACAUGGUCGGUCCCCGUGAUCCCUGCUGCAAUGCUGACAGAUCUUACCACGUCCUGCCACUGGAGCCAGAGGGAGAGCCUUGAUCACCGGUUUGGGCCUCUUAUUCUGUUGGACGGGCGUAGUAGGUGCUGGUCUGCAAAGUGGAGCUGAGGGUCUGUGGUUCCCUGCUGAUUGAGGGAGGGU